rnacentral:rRNA from 1 species
GACGAACGCUGGCGGCGUGCUUAACACAUGCAAGUCGAACGGCAAGGCCCUGCUUUUGUGGGGUGCUCGAGUGGCGAACGGGUGAGUAACACGUGAGUAACCUGCCCUUGACUUUGGGAUAACUUCAGGAAACUGGGGCUAAUACCGGAUAGGAGCUCCUGCUGCAUGGUGGGGGUUGGAAAGUUUCGGCGGUUGGGGAUGGACUCGCGGCUUAUCAGCUUGUUGGUGGGGUAGUGGCUUACCAAGGCUUUGACGGGUAGCCGGCCUGAGAGGGUGACCGGCGACAUGGGGACUGAGAUACGGCCCAGACUCCUACGGGAGGCAGCAGUGGGGAAUAUUGCACAAUGGGCGGGAGCCUGAUGCAGCAACGCCGCGUGCGGGAUGACGGCCUUCGGGUUGUAAACCGCUUUCGCCUGUGACGAAGCGUGAGUGACGGUAAUGGGUAAAGAAGCACCGGCUAACUACGUG